UAUCUUUCUAGUAUUUAAAGUUAGUACGAGUGACUUCCAAUCACCUAGUCUUGGUUAAACCCCAAGGAAAGAUAA
rnacentral:tRNA from 1 species